rnacentral:sRNA from 1 species
CUCCCUAGGGCAUAUGUGGUGGUCCCCAGUUCACCCUUUGUUGCCCCAGUCUCUCUUCCUCACCCCUGCCUCAGGAUGCCUGGCUCUGAGCCACCCUGCUUUGGCGCAGGUUCUCCCCGGAGGUGCUGGGCCUGUGUGCAAGCACAGCGCUGGUGUGGGUGGUGAUGGAGGUGCUGGCCCUGCUCCUGGGCCUCUACCUGGCCACCGUGCGCAGUGACCUGAGCACCUUUCACCUGCUGGCCUACAGUGGCUACAAAUACGUGGGAAUGAUCCUCAGUGUGCUCACGGGGCUGCUGUUCGGCAGCGAUGGCUACUACGUGGCGCUGGCCUGGACCUCAUCGGCGCUCAUGUACUUCAUUGUGAGUCUGGCGCACCCCCCCAUUCCCCUGCUUUCACUUGAGGGCAAACCUCCCCCUCCUGGCCAGGCUUCAGCUCUCCUUUCUUCCAGGUGCGCUCUUUGCGGACAGCAGCCCUGGGCCCCGACAGCAUGGGGGGCCCCGUCCCCCGGCAGCGUCUCCAGCUCUACCUGACUCUGGGAGCUGCAGCCUUCCAGCCCCUCAUCAUAUACUGGCUGACUUUCCACCUGGUCCGGUGACCCCCUGGCCCCAGAUGGCACUGAGUUUUUCAUUCAUUGAAGAUUUGAUUUCCUUGA